UACGGAGGGUGCAAGCGUUGUUCGGAUUUAUUGGGCGUAAAGCGCGUGUAGGCGGUCUCUUAAGUCUGAUGUGAAAGCCCCGGGCUCAACCCGGGAAGUGCAUUGGAUACUGGGAGACUUGAAUACGGGAGAGGGUAGUGGAAUUCCUAGUGUAGGAGUGAAAUCCGUAGAUAUUAGGAGGAACACCGGUGGCGAAGGCGGCUACCUGGACCGAUAUUGACGCUGAGGCGCGAAAGCGUGGGGAGCAAACAGG
rnacentral:rRNA from 1 species